rnacentral:piRNA from 1 species
UGUAGUCUGAGGGUGUAAGACAAAUGC